rnacentral:lncRNA from 1 species
UGUACAGAGGAAAUCAAAAUGGUGACCUUACACAUGAAACUACUUCCUCUACUUUUCAUCCUUUUCAACUCAGUUUGGUCCACAACUUCAAGUUCUGCUGCAGAAAGCUUUCUUCAAUGUUUUACCUCCCACAUACAGCAAUAUAACUCUAGCAAAAUCAUUAUCACCAAACACAGUUCCGCUUAUUUCUCAGUCGUGCAGUCUUCCAUACAAAACCUCAGAUUCUUGACCAGUUCAACAUCAAAACCAGAAGCUAUCAUUACUCCCUUUCAUGACUCUCAUGUUCAAGCAGCUGUAAUUUGCUCCAAGAAAAAGGGCAUACUAAUCAGAAUCCGAAGCGGAGGCCAUGACUACGAGGGCCAAUCUUAUGUAUCCAGAGCUCCUUUUGUCAUCAUUGAUCUUUUCAAUCUUCGAUCUAUCGAUGUUGAUAUAGAAAAUGAGAGUGCUUGGGUUGAAUCCGGUGCUACUCUUGGAGAGUUGUAUUACAGAAUUGCAGAAAAAAGUAAGGCUUAUGGAUUUCCAGCAGGGUCAUGUCCUACCAUAGGUGUGGGGGGACAUAUUAGUGGAGGUGGAUUCGGUACCUUGUUUAGGAAGUAUGGUCUGGCAGCUGACAAUGUCCUUGAUGCUAAAAUUGUCGACGUUAAUGGCAGAAUUCUUGACAGAAAAUCCAUGGGAGAAGAACUCUUUUGGGCUAUUAGAGGAGGGGGAGGCUCAAGCUUUGGAGUCAUUCUGGCAUGGAAACUUAGACUGGUUCCUGUUCCUCCAUCUGUUACAGUUUUCAGAUUUUCAAAGACCGCAGAACAAGGGGCAACCAAACUUUUUUCUAAAUGGCAAAACAUUGCGGAUAAGCUUCAUGAAGACCUUUUUCUACAUACAGUCGUAGGUGUUGGAAAUAAAGCUGGCACAAAUGGUGGCAAAACUAUUGUAAUUGAAUUCGGUUCAUUGUUUCUUGGGCCGGUGGAGAAACUUCUCCUUUUGAUGCAGGACAAUUUUCCAGAGUUAAGUGUUGACCGCAGCGAUUGCAGUGAAAUGAGUUGGAUUGAGUCUGUUCUUUACUUUGAUUACAUCCCAAGAAACGAAUCAGAAGCUUUGCUCAGUAGGACUAUAAAAUCUAAGAGCUUCUUCAAAGCGAAAUCAGACUAUGUGACUCAACCUAUUUCAGAAGCUGGCUUGAAAGGUUUAUGGCAAACACUAAUUGAAGUGGGGGCUUACCUGAUAUUGACACCUUAUGGUGGAAAAAUGAGUGAGAUUUCCAAUUCAGAAAUUCCUUUCCCACACAGAAGUGGAAAUCUAUUCAAAAUCCAGUAUAUGGUCACUUGGGAUGAUUACAGGGAAACUGAGAAAUAUAUUGACUUGAUGAGAAAGCUGUAUGACUACAUGGCACCAUAUGUUUCAAAGUUCCCAAGAGCUGCCUAUUUGAAUUAUAAGGAUCUUGACUUGGGGAGGAACAAGGAUGUUCAUACAGGCUAUGCAGAAGCAAGCAUCUGGGGUCUGAAGUAUUUCAAGAACAACUUUAGGAGACUUGUUCAUGUUAAGAGCUUAGUUGAUCCUGGUAAUUUCUUCAGGGAUGAACAAAGCAUCCCAGUGUGCCUAUCUUGGAAGAACUAGAGUUUCAACAAUGAGUACAUGAUAAUAUUAGCAAUCCCAAUUGCCAACAAUGAAUAAAGUUUGGAACUUUCUUCAAAACUCUCUGUGUUGCCAAAACAGUGAAAAUGAAAACCAAAUUUCAGAAGCACUC